AUCACAUUCUUUUUCCACUAUCUACACCACAGUCGAGAGCCAUGAGCAGACAUCUCUUCUCCCUCGCUUCAUUGCCGAUAGCCGCCAUUGUCACUUCUCCUCCACUCUUUCUCAUUGGUGCCACCAUCGUCCCUUCUCCUCCAGCCCUUCUCCUCUAACCCUUCUCAGCGGCACAACCCAACCACUAUUUUAAUCAAAGCAACAACAGGUCGACGGUGAAGAAAAUUGUAGCCAUCAGCAGACACCAUUCAACGACACCAUCAGCAGUAGGUUGACAGCAAAGGAAAUUGCAGUAGGCAUUUGAUAUUCGAGCCACUGCUUCAUGGAUUUUACAAUUGACAGUUAAGAGGAGCAUCUACAGCCAUGAUGCAUUCAGGUGGAUGCUGAGAGAUUAAAGAGUAAAAGAUAAGCUCUCUUUUGCAUAAUUUGUAUUUAUACCAAGAAAAUAAGACAGUUCUGGAUUGAAGAUGAUGACAUGAUAUCCCUUUUCAUGAAAUUAAAAUAAAAAAGUCUGAAAGUUGUAAUAUUAUAUUACAUUGCCAAAUUACAUUACUUUCUCUUA